rnacentral:rRNA from 1 species
AUGAAGUUAGAUCUUGAUGAAUUUCUGGAACAACUGAACUUGGAUGAAGAGGAAUUCGAUGACUUGGUUAUCGAUGCAGACGAUCCUGGGAUCAACGAAAGCGUUAGAUGGCUUGCCCUAGCUAGGGUUCAUACGGACAAAUCCUUUAGCCAAACUGCUUUCUACAGGGAGAUGCGUGUAGCGUGGAACACAGCCCAGCCGGUUAGGUUUCGACCGGUGGGACAGAAUCUGUUCGUGGUACAAGCUUCUUGCCUUGGAGAUUGGGAG